AUUGAACGCUGGCGGUAGGCCUAACACAUGCAAGUCGAACGGUAACACAGUAAGAGUUUGCUCUUACGUGAGGCGAGUGGCGGAGGGGUGUGGUGUACGUCGAACUCUCCGAUGGCGUGGGGGAACUCGUGGGGAAAGUUACGCUAAUCCCGCAUCCUACCUACGGGAGAAAGCAGGGGAUCUUCGGACCUUGCGCGCGGGAGUGAGCCGAUGUGGGAUUAGCUAGUUGGCGGGGUAAAGGCCCACCAAGGCGACGAUCCGUAGCUGGUCUGAGAGGAUGACCAGCCACACUGGAACUGAGACACGGUCCAGACUCCUACGGGAGGCAGCAGUGGGGAAUAUUGCACAAUGGGCGCAAGCCUGAUGCAGCCAUGCCGCGUGGAUGAAGAAGGCCUUCGGGUUGUAAAGUACUUUUGUCGGGGAAGAAAAGAGGAAAGUUAAUACCCUGGUUUAUUGACGUUACCCACAGAAUAAGCACCGGCUAACUUCGUG
rnacentral:rRNA from 1 species